rnacentral:sRNA from 1 species
UCCUCGAUGGCCAUGGUCUUGUGGAGUC